rnacentral:rRNA from 1 species
CAACUCAGCCAAAUUUAUUAGUUGUCACCUUCAUCUCUUCAGCUCUCAGAGGCUCAGCAAAGCUGUGCCUGGUUAGUACUGGGAAAGGAGACCUCCGGGGAAAACCAGGUUGCUGUUGU